CUACCUUUCCCGCAUACUCUAAACUGUUGCCUGCGAAAGAGGAACUGGGGACUUAGACUAAUUCAGGCUGCUUUCAUUCAAAUGUUCCAGAGGGCACACACACAUCCAAACAGACUUCUCUUUGCUUUUCAGAGCUUAUAAGGAGCAGGCAUCUGAAGCUGCACUCUGAAGCUCUGUUCCAGGGAUGUUCCUGAACAACUUACCUGUUGGUGAAAGCUUCAAAAGGGAUACUUAAGUGACCCAUCCUAUUCAUACUGUGGACCAGGAGAGGAAAAUCAGUAUCUGUUGGAGAAUCUGAAGAGCCAAAUCUCCUGAGCCUGGGCCUACUGCUGUCAGCGUCUCUGAGACCUCUCUUACCUGAGAAUUACCAGGUCUCACAACACUUUCCGUCCAGCCUACAGUGAGGGAUGUCAACAAAGCUACAGAAAACUCACAUUUUCUAGACUUACAAGCUGUGCAGCUGGGCAGGAACCUUAUAAUCUCCAUCCUUAGGGAAGGUUCAGAAAUAUAGACAAACGGGAGGAAAACUCAGAUAUGCUGAGCCUGAUAUAUACAAAAGCCUUCAGAUAGUCUCCUCAAGGAAGAGCCCAAUUAGGUCCACAUAAUUAGUCCACACAUCUAGAUUAGGUAUAGGCAAAACGAACCCUUUAUCCAUCUACCAAAACAGAGCAAAAGACUGACAUAAUACUAUAAAAGAUUCUUGUUCUAAUAACAGUAUUAUAAAGCAGUUUCAGCCAUAUUUAUUUUAAUCAGUAUAAAAGUAGGAGUGUGGAAAAUAAAGCAUUACUUAUAUUUUUGAAAAUUGAUUAAGAAGCUCUGAUAAAACCUAUUGGAGGGGUGAUUGCUGUGCUGAAGGAUAGAGAGGGUGUCUCAAUUGUCAAAUCAUAGCAUCACCAUUUUCUGCUUGUGUGCUAUUACCUUAGCUCUGAGAGUGAUUUGUUUUUACCGGAUUGUUAGAACACGUCCAAUAGAUUUAGAGACAGUCUAAGUGACUGUGAAAUGCCUCAAGGGCAAUAGAAAUCAAAGAGAAACACAUACCAACUCAAGUCUUGAGUGAUGAUGGAGGCGCAUUUUAAAUACCAUGGAAAUCUCACUGGGCGUGCCCAUUUUCCCACUCUGGCAACAGAGGUUGAUACUUCUUCAGACAAGUAUUCCAACCUGUACAUGUAUGUGGGCUUAUUCCUGAGCCUCCUGGCCAUUCUCCUCAUCUUGCUCUUCACAAUGCUCCUUCGGCUCAAACAUGUCAUCUCGCCCAUCAACUCGGACAGCACAGAAAGUGUUCCUCAGUUCACAGAUGUAGAGAUGCAGAGUCGAAUCCCCACUCCUUAAAGCCAGGAUGAAGGUGAGCUUUAGUGGAUCUGGGUAAACCCUUAUAUAUAGAUGUCCAGGAGAGCUUGCUUUCUUACAUGAAGCUUCCCAUGUAGGGAAUCCACAAGUUGUUCAUUUAACAACAAGCUGUUCAUGUUUUCUUUGUGUUAUUCUUCAUCUUUACUCUGCUUGUGGACUAUCUAAAACGUUUAAGACUCACUCUGAAAGGAAUAUAGGAAAUGACAGCUGGUUGGGAGGGCUGGUUUCCAUAGUAACCAAACAGUGCAUGGGCCUUGCACAAACCUCAGACCACAGAAAUUCAUACGCAGUGGUUGUAAGAAACACAGGGUCCCUGGAAGCUCCAAAAACAAAGAAGAUUUGCUUUUGAAAGGGUUGAUCCUUCAAAGAGGAUAUCCCAAGAAAAGGACAAGUUCUAAUUUAGUGUUUUGAUCCUAAAGAAUCACCUCUACACGAAGUUAAAUUAUGUCAGAAGUUAAUGGAAGGGACCACGAGUCCUUUCCCUAAACAGCAGUGAUUUGAUCAUCUUAGGCAAUUCGGUUUGUUUCAAAUGAAAGAAGAGAUUUAAAGAAACUGUUUCAGUUUAAAGAGUAAGUUUUCAGAAAGAAGUUUCUAGUAAACAAACUCAUCUAGAGAGAGAAAAAUGUGCAUAUUAUAACUAUGUUAAUUCUAUUCAUGCAGCUUCUUUGUCUUUUUCUUUCUCCCUGUCACACUCUAGGAUAGAGUUGCACACAAAUAUGAGCUUUGUUUAAAAGGUGCCUUUGCAAACAAGACUCAACUGUACUUUAGAGCAGAAAUGAAAUGAUUUUGGUAUUCUGUUGUUGAAUGUGGCUUUGGACAAAACAUUCAAGCCUUCUGAGUCCCAGGGUUUUUGUGGUGAAAAAUGGUUAGAGAGCUAUUUAGUCAUCACUAUACUCUUUAGAUCUGAGUAUUUAAAAAAAAAAAAAAAGACAAAGGAGGAAAGGACUAAACAACAUCCUCCAACAAAUCCUUAUUGAGAUCAAUGUCCUCAAAUGUCUCAUUUGUAUUUCCCAGAAAAUGUUCCUCCCUUCCUGAUCCCUGCCAAAAGAUGAAGUGUCUCACUUAUUAUCUAUAAGAGAAUUAUAUUUUGAAAAAUUCCGUUCUCAUAAGUAGCCCUAGUAUGCCAGUAGUGUGGAGAGAAUUUAAUUUUUAAAACUAACUUUUCAAAGGGAAACCAAAGGAGAUGAGUACCAUUUACAAAUUAGAAUUUAAAAAACUGGUCAUAUUCUUCCCACCAAAGGAUGAGUACACCUGUGUUAAAUUCUACUUGCUAAAACAAAAAAUAAGUUAUCACUUGCACCUGAAGGGGGGGGGUCAUCAAAUUUCAGAGAGUACUCUCUCAGGAACUGUAAUGAUGGUAAGAGAGAAAUCAAAUAGAUGUUAGAUUAAUGCCACCCCCACCAGAAAUGUAGCUCUUUGUAGUCUGUAACCAAUUUAGAUUGGCCCUUCUUCUCUGAUCUAAAUCUAAGUUGGUAGUGAAAUUCCCAAGUGCUUUCCACUUUUAUACAGUCAUUUGUCAAUGCUCCUCUCUCCAAGGGGCUGCAAGUGUGAAAUCCCCACAUGCAGAGCUAAAUUUAGCAGUAAGGCUGACUCUGCCACACCUGUUACCCAACUGUGCACUGUCAGAGAUGGGAGCUGCAUUCUGCACCAUUCAAAACAAAUUAGCAGAUGGGCUAAGACUUGGAUAGGGCAUGUAUUUUUCCAAACUCAAAGUGACUCACAUUAUUACACCUUGAUGGUCUUAAGUUGUGUGUUUAUUCAACACCCAAAUUCAGUGGACCCUUUAAAAUUUGAGCUUUGGUAGCCAAACAUGGACUUCAUCAAGACUGCCAAUACCGCCCCCUCCCUCCCCAGAACUUCUUAAGAACACACAUCUUCCCUCAUUCCAGGCUCUCCGUUUUGUGCCCACAGUAUUUGAAUGCACUUUACAGUUGAGAAGUCAGUGGCUGGAUAAAUGAAGGAACUGAUUAUACUCUCAACAGCAGUGAAUAGCAAGAUACGAAAUACCUUGUUGCUGAAUCUAAUACAGAUACAGACUGAAAAUCUAUUCUCUGCCCAUCUGACCUCCCUAACCCAAAUUUCAGGAGAAUAAAACUGCUUUUUAAGCACUGACUUGGAUGAAGCUUUCUAAUUUAUGAUUAGGUUACUCACAUGGAAAACUACCACCUUCUUUCAUCACAACUACCCCAUGGGGAUCCAGAUCGUCAUUGAGCAUUAACCAAAGCACACAGCACAGUUUAUACCAAAAUAGCAGCAUAACACCCCCCACCCAAUUUCCAGUGACAAUACAAAUGGAAAUGCUUUUAAGCAGAUGUGUCAUUAUAAUGACUCACAUGGUAUUUAAUCUUUAGGAAAAUAAACUGAAUGUUUUUAUUGUAGCAAACUUACUGUAAAGAAAAGAAUUUUUACAUUAUAUUUAUUCUCCAAUGUAUUAACAUAUAUUACUGCUCAGAAAGGCAGCUAGAGUAACCGGAGGGCACAAUUUGAGUUUAUUCUUCUGUUCAAAAUGCUGACUUGGAUUGCCUUCCCCCACCCCCACUCCCUCCAAAAUUGCACAUUAGCCAGUAUAUAAACAGGUAGGUUAUUUAUAUGUGUGUGUACUCUGUUUUAAGAUGAAAAGAACAAUUCUUCACUUUUUAUUAGCUGAACCAUAUGAAAUUGCCAUUUUAUAGGCCAAAAAAUGCUCAAAUAUCACCAAUUUCAUAAAAUUCAACCUAAUACAAAGACUCACCACAUUAAUUCUGUAAAUAGUAAAUUCUCCUAAUAUGUUUUAAAAGAAUCCAAUUUUUUAAAAGAUAUUUUGCAUAUAUUUCAGAAUCAUGGGUUGUAUAAAACAAAGUAUAUUGUAAAAGGCUUAUGUAUUAUGUAUUAUGUAUUAAGCAGGAAAUAUUAAGGUUAAUCAAGUAAAGAUGAAUUCAUCCAGCCUAACCUUUCCAUCCAUGCCAAAUCUGAAGCUUUAGACUCACAACUGAGUUUGACUGCUGCAGAUCCCACCAUACUUACUAAGUAGGUAUAAGGGAUCCAUUUUAAUACAUUUCAAUGGUUAUAUUUAGUAAUACAUUUUAUUCACUUGUGCUUGUACAAAAGAACUUUUUUUUUAACAAAAUGAAGAAUUGUGUGGAAUAAAAAAUUGAGUUUCUUUUGUUUGAAAUCAUUAAUGUUUGAAAUAGAUUCAUAUUGUAUAAAAAUGGAAAUAUAUUUGCAUUAAUAUUUAGCAUGUCAUUUUUGAUCCCUGGACAAUAAAUGGUGACUGGUUUAAUGAUAA